CUUCUCAGACCAAAGUUUUACCUGUGACAACUUAUAGUAACCUAUCUGCUUUGGUGUCCACCCUUAAUUUACCAGAUAUGUACCAAAUGCCAAUAGCUCUCUACCAGGCAUGCAAGCAAGCAAAAAGCAACAACUUUCCUCAAAACAAAACCAUAGAAGUUAGUUAGAAAAGAAAGUGCAAAACAGAGGGUGUCUUCUCAAAGAAAUAAACCAAACAAAAUAUCCAGAAGGUAGCCAACCACAGAAAUGCAUAUAGGGUUUUUGUGACUACUGAGGAAAUGAGUUAGAAUAUGAAUGGCUCAGGCCUCCUAGGUUAAAUUUGAAGUUUUUUUGUUUGUUUGUUUGAUUUUUACUUUUGGUUUCAUAUUUUUUCAGUUCGUUUUAGUAAAAACAUAAUAUAUAAAAGGCAAUGCCACCAUGUUCCCCUCCUGGGGGUGAUCCAUCAAGCCAAUGUGGGCUGCUCCAGUGUGAUUCAGAGCUCAUGAUGCGAUAUGUGCAGGGCAUGGUCUCAAAGAUCUGUUCGCUUACUGCAAAGUUUGUCUUUAACAUUGUCAGCCUCUCGGGAAAAGAAUUCAAUGAGUUCAUCCUCGUAUUCCUCCACAACGCUCUCACACGCAAACUUGAGGGUGCCACUGAUACCUGAGUCAAUUCAGAUGCCUUGUAGGUCCAGUUCACUGGAUUCUCCAUUCCGGCUCACUACACGUACAUAGUUCUUGCGAUGGGUGGAAGGAUCAAUCUGUUCCCCAUACUCCUUCAUCCGGUCAGAUAUCUCCUCCAGCAGCUCUGUGCGGUGGGCCUCUGAGAGGGCAUAAGGCACGUCCACCGCUGACUGGCUGCCAUCUGGAUUGAUACGGAAAGGUCCCAUCUGAAUGGUUUUCUUGGGGUCCACCUUGGCAAUUUCCCAUUCUAGUUCAUCCACCAGAGCCCUGCACACUCCAUAGGGGAGAUCCUGGCUCCUCCGAGCCCAGGCAGUUCCCAGCAUGGCCCCCAGAAGCAGGGCCACCAAUCCCAGGCUUUCAUCUUUAUUGUAAUGGGGUCGCUCCACCUCUGCGCCCAGGGCCGCCACCGUGGCCCAGGCACUGGAAGACCUCUGGACUCUCACUUUGGCCUCAGUGGCUCCCGAAACUACACCAGGCUGCGCAGAGCAGGGCUGACUGGGAUUCUCCAGAGCACUUCGCUGCUUGCCACACACGGGGUGUCCUGGCGACCGCCUGACCCAGCUCCCUGGGCGCCAACUGGUAUCUAAGUGGGUCUCGGGUGUGCUGCGGUGAGCUUGUUUUUUUUUUUUUUUUAAAAAAGCUAGUAAGUUGAAAAAAAUGGGCGAAGGCAGUUUGGUUUAGUGUGUUCUGUGGAACGUUUGCCUUUCUCCCAUAGAAAAAGUUCACAAAUGGUAGUUCAGUUCCAGGUCAGCCCAGAUGAGCUUACUGAACCAUGAUCCAGCUGAGGCUCCAAAACCACAGGAGUCUGGGGAUACACAAGCCCUGAGCUUUCUUGGAAGAAAGACAAACAGAUUUUCUGUUUCUUCUCUCCUCAGAUUUCCUAAGUCCCCUGCUCUACACCACCUCUCUCAAAGGUAAGGGUAAUCCUAGAAAAUCUUUAACUAGUUUUUAAAAAAUUUGUAAGUGAAGUACAUACAAAUUAAAAAUAUGCUCCUGGAAAAAAAAAUCCUACCUCAGAC
rnacentral:lncRNA from 1 species